rnacentral:rRNA from 1 species
CCCUUAGACGUUCUGGGCCGCACGCGCGCUACACUGACGAAGGCAACGAGCUUUCCUUUACCGAAAGGUACGGGUAAUCUUUUGAAACUUCGUCGUGCUGGGGAUAGAUCCUUGCAAUUAUUGAUCUUAAACGAGGAAUUCCUAGUAAGCGCAAGUCAUCAACUUGCGUUGAUUACGUCCCUGCCCUUUGUACACACCGCCCGUCGCUACUACCGAUUGAAUGGUUUAGUGAGGCCUUCAGAUCCGCAACUCGUUUUGUGGAGAAGUUGGACAAACUCAGUCAUUUAGAGGAAGUAAAAGUCGUAACA